AGUGAACGCUGGCGGUAGGCCUAACACAUGCAAGUCGAACGGCAGCACAGUAAGAGCUUGCUCUUACGGGUGGGGAGUGGCGGACGGGUGAGGAAUACAUCGGAAUCUACUUUUUCGUGGGGGAUAACGUAGGGAAACUUACGCUAAUACCUCAUACGACCUACGGGGGAAAGCAGGGGAUCUUCGGACCUUGCGCGAUUGAAUGAGCCGAUGUCGGAUUAGCUAGUUGGCGGGGUAAAGGCCCACCAAGGCGACGAUCCGUAGCUGGUCUGAGAGGAUGAGCAGCCACACUGGAACGGAGACACGGCCCCGACUCCUACGGGAGGAAGCAGUGGGGAAUAUUGGACAAUGGGGGCAAGCCUGAUCCAGCAAUACCGCGUGGGUGAAGAAGGCCUUCGGGUUGUAAAGCCCUUUUGUUGGGAAAGAAAAGCAGCAGUUUAAUACCCCGCUGUUCUGACGGUACCCAAAGAAUAAGCACCGGCUAACUUCGUG
rnacentral:rRNA from 1 species